rnacentral:rRNA from 1 species
GUAGGGAAUAUUGCACAAUGGAGGAAACUCUGAUGCAGCGACGCCGCGUGAGUGAUGAAGGCCUUCGGGUCGUAAAGCUCUGUCGUAUGGGAAUAACACAAUGAAGGUACCCUGUAAGAAAGGAUCGGCUAACUUCGUGCCAGCAGCCGCGGUAAGACGAGGGAUCCUAGCGUUGUUCGGAAUCAUUGGGCGUAAAGCGGAUGUAGGUGGCUAUGUAAGUCAGAUGUGAAAGCCUGGGGCUCAACCCCAGAAGUGCAUUUGAUACUGCGUAGCUUGAGUGUCGGAGAGGUUACUAGAAUUGUUGGUGUAGUGGUGAAAUACGUAGAUAUCAACAGGAAUACCGGAGGCGAAGGCGGGUAACUGGCCGAACACUGACACUGAGAUCCGAAAGCGUGGGGAUCAAACAGGAUUAGAUACCCGAGUAGUCC